UUUCAUUCAUAUUUUCGCGGGAUUUGAACAGGAAGUCGGAUUGCCCAUGCGCAUUAUUUAAACGCGUCUUUCCUGUAUUUCAAAAAGAAUAACAAAGGACGAGGUUGCAGAGAAACUUUCCGUUUAUCACGCAUAUUUAUGUUUCUUAUCAAACAAAUCAUUGGCUGUAAUGCAUAAAGUGGAGCAAAAUCAAAAAGUUUUGGGAAUGCCAGUCUUUAAAAUCAUCAAAGAGGUUAAAUAUACUGCAAAAGUAUAAAGAUGUCAUUGGGAAAUACCGCAGAAAUAUCUCGAAGCGGUGGAAGAAUGAUGACACGCAAUAAGGACAAACAGAGACAAAGAUAACAAAUGAAUUUAUAAAAUAAAUAUUGUAUCAAAAGAAAUAUGAUUGUAUUACUUAAUUUUAUAUUGUUCCUGAGUAUGUAUUCAUUUAAUGGUUUAUACCAAUUAUUGGUGUGAGGGUAAUAUUUAUAUUUAUAUAUACAUAACAUAUUUGGUCAAGGACCUUUGGUUUUUGUGGAGAUUUGUCUGCCCGUGAGUGGUAAGCAGUCAUGCAGCAACUUCUUAUUGUAAUAAGUAUUGCAAUCAUCCUGAACACAAGUUGGAUCUUAUUAUGUCUUCAUGAUUCUUGGGAUAUACUUCUUUUAAGAAGGGCUUAACAUUUGUUGGUCGUUAAAAAAAACUACUUUCAACUUGUGAGAAUUAUUUAGAACUAUAUAUAUUCAUCAUCUUCUUUCCUCUCUGUUUGGAGAUCCUUUCUGUAGUGUCGGGGAUGUUGUUUCAGUAACAGUUGAUGUAUUUAUUUAGAUGUUUCCCAUUUAGCUUAUCUAUUUGGUUUAUAUGUAUCUUGGUGAGAGAAAAACACAUUAAAAAAAGUGUACACUCAGGCUGCCUACCAUCUAACAACAGCAAAAUAUGGAGAGCAGGUAAAAAAUGUGUAUGCAGCUUAAUAAUUAAUUUCAUUAAUAUACUUUCAACUACUAUUCAACCUUGAAUCAACGUUGAAUGGAUGUUGAAACUUCAACGUUGAAAUGUCAACGUUAAUUCCAAUUUUCAAAAUCAAACAUAAAUUUGACAUUGUUUCAACGUUGAGAAACAACCUUGUUUCAACGUUGAAUCAACGUUGAGUGCCUGCUGG